AUUUGAAAUCUGGCGCAAGCCCGAGUUGUAAUUUGUAGAGGAUGCUUCUGGGUAGCGCCCGGUCUAAGUUCCUUGGAACAGGAAGCAAUAGAGGGUGAGAAUCCCGAAUGUGAUUGGAUUGCACCCUCCACGGAGCUGCUUCGACGAGUCGAGUUGUUUGGUAGUGCAGCUCUAAAUGGGAGGUAAAUUUCUUCUAAAGCUAAAUACCGGCCAGAGACCGAUAGCGCACAAGUAGAGUGAUCGAAAGAUGAAAAGCACUUUGGAAAGAGAGUUAAAAAGCACGUGAAAUUGUUGAAAGACUUCUUCCCGCAACCAGACUUUGCGGCAGGGUUCGGCCGGUCUUCUGACCGG
rnacentral:rRNA from 1 species